AAGAUCCGCCACCGUCCACAACGUCGCCUCCUUUCUUGCUCCACCCCACAACAACCUUACUCUUCCCCUACGCCGCCGCUGCCACUGCGCUCCGAUGUGUCACCGUCAUCGUACGAAGAGUUUAAGAACGAUCUUGCUGAAAUUGGGGAUAGUUUAAAGACUCUGUUAUCGCCCAACAAAGCUGUCACUGGGAUUUCUAAAUUGGCUUCCAAUUUGUUUCAGUUUGAUAAAAAAGGUGAUCUUGAUCCGGUUGAUGCUGUGGGGGUUACUGAUGAUGUUGUUGAUUUUGUUCGAGAGGUUUCUGUUCGCCCUCAGUUUUGGGUUGAUUUUCCUUUGUCUUUACAACAUAAAGCUAAUUUUGGCCGAACGAGGUGUCGCACUUCUAGAUUCUACUUGCUAUAUUUGCGGGAUCGCCGUGGAAUCUACGACUCAUGUUCUGGCAGAUUGUUUGGUGGUUCGGUCCAUUUGGUGGAACGUUUUUGUGUGGCUUAAACUCCUAGUUCCUACGUGGACAUGUUCUAUUCAAUCUUUACUUGAAUCCGGAAACAAAUGUGAUGGUCCGAAAGAUUGGAAGAAGGUGAUAGGAGCGAUGUGCUUGACAACCUGUUAGGUUAUCUGGAAGUGGAGAAGCAUUCAACAAUAAUAAUAUUCCUAUUAGUAGAAUGGUGGACAACAUUAAAGAACUCUCCUUCAUAUGGAUCAAAGUAGGUUCAAAUUUUGUAACCUCAAUUGGGAUUAGAUGGUGCGAUUUCAAUAUAGGGAUAUGAUCUUGUAAUUUUGGGUGUUCAAGUUUCUUGCAAGCCCGUUUCUAUAUUUCUAUAAAAGUUUCGCCAUUAAAAAAAUGUAUAUUGAAUUUAA